UACGAGGGGGGCAAGCGUUGUUCGGAAUCACUGGGCGUAAAGGGUGCGUAGGCGGGUUUUUAAGUCAGGGGUGAAAUCCUGGAGCUCAACUCCAGAACUGCCUUUGAUACUGGCGAUCUUGAGUUCGGGAGAGGUGAGUGGAACUGCGAGUGUAGAGGUGAAAUUCGUAGAUAUUCGCAAGAACACCAGUGGCGAAGGCGGCUCACUGGCCCGAUACUGACGCUGAGGCACGAAAGCGUGGGGAGCAAACAGG
rnacentral:rRNA from 1 species